rnacentral:rRNA from 1 species
GUCAUGGUGCAGACAGCAGCGAAGUGCGAGAUCAGUUGCAGCAGGUGGAGAAGAUCGCCAGUUCCUCCAACGCCUUCUGUGCUCUUCU